AAUAUCAUCUACUAGAAAUCAAAUCUUACACAAAAAUACGCCGAGGGUUGCACAAAAGUUAGGGUUCUCGGAGAAGAAGCGAGCCUUUCAGGCUUUUUCCAGGCUGAGCUCCGGAAGAUAAAGUCCUCAAAAGGGGUUCGUUUAAACAAGCAUAAAAUACUUUUGUGCUACGAUACCAAGACUGACAAACUUCGUCAAAUCUCAUUCCCUAACUGGAUUUUACAUAUUCCUGGUGGGACAAUGAUUGUCAUCUGUAAUUGAACAAGGAAAAUCGCCAUUGUAUAUAGCUGUUGAAGCUGGCAAAAUUGAGUAACAUGUAAUUUUUGAAUGAUGUUAAAUUGAGUCGAUCAGUGUUGGCUAAGAUAUGCAUUUCCUCGGGAAUGAAAAAGCCGCAAAGAGCUAAAGAUAGACUGGUCCAGUGUGGCCACACUAGGCCCAUUGGGUCGGGGAUCAUAAUUUUUAGCUUAUGUAGCAAAUGAGCUUGGACGGCUGAGAUGAAAGCCUGAAACGACGAAUGCUAGCGAUUGAGCUUGGACGGCUGAGAUGAAAGCCUGAAACGACAAAUGCUAGCGAUUGGAAUAAAUGAAAUCACAAUCCGAAUAAAGCCAAGAUACCCAAUCAGACUGUGCCACGUGCCCUUGUUUUAUGAGUAUAUAUAUUUCCCAAGUAGAGAGACUAACCCUCGAUCUAUACACGCCUCCCCGUCCACAGUUCUUCACUCUUCCUUAUCUGCAAAUCGCCCAUCUGCCCCGUUUCAGCUAAGGGCUGCCUACUCUAUUCUGAGUGAAUGGAUUUAGGUUGCAACGGUACGUCUCAGCCAGCUGGGGUUUUAUUUUUCACCUCUACCAAGGGCUAUGCUAGCAAAAUUAAAGCAAAAAUGAACAACAAACCCAAAGAAAGAAAGUGUAUACAACUGAUGUCAGUAGUGUGCAAUCAUUGUAUCAGGUGUAUACAAGCCAAGCAAUGAUCGCUUUUGUGACACAGAUCACCAACCAAUAUGCUAGGAACAUACUAGGACUGAACUUUGGAGGAAUACAGGCUUACUGACACUGAAGUCUGACUGGGCAUGUUUGAAAGGAAGGCUGCCAGUUUAAGCUCGUGUGAAGCUUAAAAGUAUUAUUCAUGCCGACUCUGACGUAUCAGGAAGAGCAAUCCUCUGGUCGGGCCUUUCAGAAAUUCAAAGAAAUUGAAUCCUGCUAGAUCUGGCAAUCAAUGCAAAAAGUCAAAGGUUUUAUAUUUCACUUCCACAAAAUUGUUACUUCAGUAGUUCGGUGUCUUGGAGAGAGCAGGAAUCCUUCAUUCACCCGCCGCACGGCACCGUGUACUCAAUUCCUGGGACUCUUAGAUGAUUCCAGAUUCUUAGGAUUUUUGUUGAUAAUUAAUUUUGUAAUUAGUUGCAUUCUUUUUCACUAUACUACUUUAUAAUGUAAUAAUUGUUUAUCAAAUAAAUAUAAUGUACUCCCUCUGUCCUUCCCA